AUUGAACGCUGGCGGCAUGCUUUACACAUGCAAGUCGAACGGUAACAGGCCUUCGGGUGCUGACGAGUGGCGAACGGGUGAGUAAUGCAUCGGAACGUGCCCAAUCGUGGGGGAUAACGUAGCGAAAGUUACGCUAAUACCGCAUAAGCCCUGAGGAGGAAAGUGGGGGACCGCAAGGCCUCACGCGAAUGGAGCGGCCGAUGUCAGAUUAGCUAGUUGGUGGGGUAAAGGCCCACCAAGGCGACGAUCUGUAGCGGGUCUGAGAGGAUGAUCCGCCACACUGGGACUGAGACACGGCCCAGACUCCUACGGGAGGCAGCAGUGGGGAAUUUUGGACAAUGGGCGCAAGCCUGAUCCAGCCAUGCCGCGUGCGGGACGAAGGCCUC
rnacentral:rRNA from 1 species